UAACCUGCCCAAGAGACUGGGAUAACACCUGGAAACAGAUGCUAAUACCGGAUAACAACACUAGACGCAUGUCUAGAGUUUAAAAGAUGGUUCUGCUAUCACUCUUGGAUGGACCUGCGGUGCAUUAGCUAGUUGGUAAGGCAACGGCUUACCAAGGCAAUGAUGCAUAGCCGAGUUGAGAGACUGAUCGGCCACAUUGGGACUGAGACACGGCCCAAACUCCUACGGGAGGCAGCAGCC
rnacentral:rRNA from 1 species